CAUUGGUACGUACUCAACUCGGUAGAAUCGUCGCUAUCUCUGCAUUAAGAAACCCUUGUCCGGACUCCGUCGUGCCUUGCAUGAACGGCAAUGGCUGGCUCUGGAUCCUGUUUACGCUAGGGGAGUACGGCGUGUUCGUCGGGAGGAAGAAGAUGGCUUUUCGUUCGUAGAUCUGGAAGCGGACGGCUUAGAUAGGGGCACGCAGAUCGGUUGGGCUAGGUGAAAUCCGGACCGUCGGAUCCGAUCGGGUGGAUCUCAGUGACGCUGGCUUAAUAAAAUCUGAACCGUUCCUUGCAAAUCGUGUGAUCCGCGUUGCAUACCGGUUCGGUGCGGGGGAAAGGGUAAUCCGAACCCUCGAUGCCUGAUCGGAUGGCUCACAUGCCGCGAUACCCCUUCGCGGGUCUCUUUUGUAUAAGAGUCCCUGGGGAAAACGCUAAUGAACCCGCAGUCCACCCUGUACAGCAUCUGUGUCUUGAAUUCUUUUACGCUUGAGACCCUGCGCUUUCCAGAAUUAGAGGCCCAGUCCAGAGACCAAUAAAAAUAGAAAAUUAAGUAUAUAAAAUGAUUUUUAAUACAAAAAUAAUACUAGAAACUUGUAUAAUUCGUAUAUAAUUCAUUUUAUCUCCAAAUUGAGUCAUUCCAGUUGCAGUAAUUUUGUAUUAAUAUUGUAUACCAACUAGUAAUACUGUUUAGCCGUGAAACUUGAAUUAAAAUUAUUCAUUGGGAUUAAUCUAUUCUAAGCACUAAAUAAUUUCCGAAAUUCAUAACUCGGUAACCGCAACUCCGAAUUUAAUGGUUCUUGUUUCUACGAUCUCGUAACGUCGCGUAGAUUAUUCUAUGCAGUUUGAUCUUAUGUUUGAUGUAAUGUUAAAUUUGCCUAUACAUGUUUGUUUGUAUUGGUACGUUUAGCAGUGAGGACACGUAUCACCGGAAGAGCAAGUUGGUACCUGGAAUCUCAAGUCCCAGGCAAGUUGUGCCCUUGAUCACUUCUUUUACCUAUUCAUGUUCUUAUUAAUCAUAAUGAUCUGCAUAGGUUAAUUUUGCUGGGUCCUAAUAGGAUACCCUAGUUUGAUUAUCCUUAUACCUUGUUACCACUGAACUUUUUGGGUAGUACUUGCUAGUGCUUUAAGUGGUUUUGGGUAUGAAGAUACAUUACUCAUGAUUAUACUUUUGUUAUCUGUUGUUAUUUAUCGUUCAUGAUAAGAUCAUUAUGUUAAUUGGAACAUGGAGAACCACCCGGGAAAACAGUGCUACCACAAGGGUUUAAUGGGACGCCCUUGGCCGAUUAAUUAGGAAAGCUAGUGGAAGACUACCUUACCCGAAAGGGGCAAGGGCAGUAGGGGAGUGGUCAGUGUAGGGAGGCCCUCGGGAGGAUUUUGCUGCGAUGGCGGUCCUGCAAGGGAUUCCUGCAUUGGAGCUUCCUAUAAACUGUAGCGGGUAGUCUGAAGCUAGUGGAACUUUGUAAAGGCCUCGUAGUGGUACCCUGCCUCGCUUCCUUGGUAGAGGUGUAUGGAGUCUGAUCAACUCUGUGGCAAAUGGGUAACACGACUUGUGGGUAAAGAUGCGCAACCUCUGCAGAGUGUAAAACUGGUAUACUAGCUGUGCUCACGGUCAUGAGCGGCUCGGACACUCACAUGAUUAAAUUAUGGAACUUAAACUCAAUUUGUCAUAUGCAUUGCAUCGCAGGUGAGGUUGUUACUUUUGUUCUACUACUUAAUUGGGUUGGUAUUUACUUAUACUUAGUAAUUGCUAAUAAAAUUUUGACCAACUUUAAAAGCAAUGCUCAGCUCUAACCAUCCUCUUUGGUAAGCCUUACACUUCACGUGAGCUCCCACCUUUGGCGAGUUCAUGCACAUUAUUCCCCACAACUUGUUGAGCGAUGAACGUAUGUGAGCUCACUCUUGCUGUCUCACACCCCCCCACAGGUCAAGAGCAGGUACCGCAGGAUGAGGCGCUUGGAGGAUGUUGUGGCGUGUUCGUGAGAAAUCUAGGUCGUUGUCUCCCAGUCAACUUUGGGUUGCUGGAUCGUUUCCUCAUAUGAUGUAAUUAUUUAAUUAUUUUGUAUAGAACUCCUGUUAUAUAGUAAAGAUGUGACAUUCGAUCCUGUGCCAUGAUUCAUCAUAUGUGUGAGACUUGGUCCCAGCACACCUGGUGAUUAUGUUCGCGCCCGGGUCUUGGUGCCCCGAAACCCGGGUGUGACAGAAGUGGUAUCAGAGGAAUGUUGACUGUAAGACGAAACCUAGAUAGAACUGGACAACCAUUAUCUACUUACCUUGCUACUCUGAUUCUUUCUAAACUUUUCUUAAUCUUUUCUCAUCUAUUUCCGCUUACUCUGAUUAUUCUUACCUUUUCAUUCUAAAGACAAAUGUGGAUUUCACACUUUGAAAUCCUGUGCCUAAAGUGACCUUUAGGAAUAGGAAACCUAAUCCUAGGAACAAAAACAAAACUAUUUUUAUAAGUAUUUGUAUGAUUGAUUAUUUGUUCUUGUGAUACAUGUCUGAUUUGGAUCUUUGAUUGAGUGUGAUGAGUUGUGGAGUAAUGUCCAUGAUUAUAUCUGCAUAUACAUAAUACUUAUGAAACUAACUAGACAAACUAGAUUAUCCCUCAUUAAAGUAUCUAACCUAACAAUAUUCAUCUCAUCUUAAAAGAUUCUAUCCUACACUCAUAGAUCCAUCUUAUCUUAAAAAUAUUCUCUUAUCUUAAUGGAUUCAUCUUACCUUAAAACGAUUUUUAUCUUAUCCUAACCACUUUGCUUAUCUCAUCCUAGAGUAACAAUCAUGACCUAAUCCAAAUUACUUAAAUCUUAUCUAGUCUAAUCUAGUCAUAUCCAAUCUAAUCUAGAUCACCAUCUAAUCCAAUAUGAUCCAAUCAAAAGUGAGUUAUUAACAGGUCAGUUAAUCUGGUGAUAUGGGUUAGACACUGCUUCAACAAACAUAACCUAACCUAAAUUAAUGUCAUAUACCAACUUGUCUGUAAACAACAAUAUAACCUACAUCACAGGCUACCUAGUCCAUUUGUUCCAAAAGCAAAAUACAACUCUGUUCAAACCUACCUACCUCGUGUACCUCGACUAUCCUAACUAUAUGUCCUUAACUCGGAUGACACCUCCAAGAAGAAAGACCAAAGAAGACCAGCCACGUCAAAGAAGGAUAAGCAUCAACUCAAGCCUUCAAAGAUCAAGCUAAAUCAUCAGAUGAAUCAAGAUCCACAAAUCUUGGACGGAGUCUUCCCUUACCAAGUUCUUCUUACCAUAAGCUAACCUCACUCUGACCAUCUCUCUACUUACGUGUGUGUCUAAACAUAGAAGAUACCCAUGCAUUUCUAAGUACUUUCUAAAUAGUAUUUUAAAAAAGAGAAAGAGAGAGACUCUUAAUUUUUGAAUCAAUUAGAAACUACAAUCUCAAUUAUAAACCAACCUCGGUAUAACCCUUCUGCUUACUAAUCUCGAGGACGAGAUUAUUUUUAAGGGGGAUAGGAUUUGUAAUACCUAAUUUGUAAAGGUAAUAAAAGGGGAGAAAAAUUAUUUUCCAAUAUUUUAUGUGUAUGAUUGAACCUACUUAUCAUCACAUGUGAACACCAUAUUCAAAAUAAUAAUAAUAAUAAUUGUUCAUAAAAGACUUAUCACAAAAAAUGUGCACCAUGUCGGUUCUUUAUUUUGUGUGCAUUAUGUGGCAUUAUAAAAGUAAUGUGACAAGAAAAUAUUAAAGUCCAAAAAGGGAAUUUAGAACCUAAAAGAAAUUCUUGAAUCUAGAAAAGAGAAGGAAAUAAAUAUUGUGAGGAUAAAAAUAAGUAAAUGAAAAUAUAUUAUUCCAACAUUAGAGUGUGAAUUUGUAUAAUGGACUCAAAGAAUAAACUCACAUUCAAAUUCAAAUUUGGAUUCAAAACAAUUAAAGAAAACAGAAAAAAAAUAAAUCAUAAAGAAAAAGGGAAUAAGGAACCUUACUGGGCCGGAUUACCCGUUUUCGGCCCAGCUCCGGACUGCUCCCGUGCGGCCCACGCUCCUCACCGCGCGCGGCGCUCUGUCAAACCGGCCCCACUACUCCAAUCACUGCGUGCGGGCGAAACGCUGGCGGGUGGGGCCCUUUCGUCAGGUCGUCAUCUUCCCCUGUGAAAUCGCGGAUGGAGCGAACCUCCGCAUCCCUCGCCGGUCCGCUCGGAGUUGCACUGAGUCCUUAUACGCCGCGGAAUCCGUGGGAUCUCCCGCACCCGUCGCGCGGCCUGACCGGGCUCGUCCCCAUCCCCGGCUAUAAAACCUUGGCGUGAUCCUCUUCCUCCACCAUCGGAAGCAUCCAUCUCGGGCAAUGGGGAGGCAGCAAAAUCAAUAGGUGCCGUCGACCACACAACUCCGCCGCCGUCGCACUGAAGUUCGGGAUACACCGUCGGUCGGCCUCUACAGGUGGCUUAGGAGCUUCGCCAGGGCCUUAAUUCCAUGGCGGAGGUGCGCACGGGUUGAGCCGCGGGGAGAUCUCGACGACUCUCUGUGCUGCGUGGGAGUCUUCGGCUGGAUAUCACCAGCGCCGCGGGCCACGUCUCGCCCUCGGCCAGCAAGGGUGUCGUCACGUUUCCCAACCACAAGCUCGUUCCGUCUGGGCAUUGGUACGUACUCAACUCGGUAGAAUCGUCGCUAUCUCUGCAUUAAGAAACCCUUGUCCGGACUCCGUCGUGCCUUGCAUGAACGGCAAUGGCUGGCUCUGGAUCCUGUUUACGCUAGGGGAGUACGGCGUGUUCGUCGGGAGGAAGAAGAUGGCUUUUCGUUCAUAGAUCUGGAAGCGGACGGCUUAGAUAGGGGCACGCAGAUCGGUUGGGCUAGGUGAAAUCCGGACCGUCGGAUCCGAUCGGGUGGAUCUCAGUGACGCUGGCUUAAUAAAAUCUGAACCGUUCCUUGCAAAUCGUGUGAUCCGCGUUGCAUACCGGUUCGGUGCGGGGGAAAGGGUAAUCCGAACCCUCGAUGCCU
rnacentral:lncRNA from 1 species